GUGCUCGCUUUGGCAGCACAUAAGCUAAAAAUUAGAACAAUGCAGAGGAGAUUAGCAUGGCCCCUGCGCAAGGAUGACACGCAAAUUCAUGAAGUGUUCCUUUUUUUU
rnacentral:snRNA from 1 species